rnacentral:rRNA from 1 species
CACUUGGAAACAGAUGCUAAUACCGGAUAACAACAAUAGCUGCAUGGCUAUUGCUUAAAAGGCGGCGAAAGCUGUCGCUAAAGGAUGGACCCGCGGUGCAUUAGCUAGUUGGUAAGGUAAUGGCUUACCAAGGCGACGAUGCAUAGCCGAGUUGAGAGACUGAUCGGCCACAUUGGGACUGAGACACGGCCCAAACUCCUACGGGAGGCAGCAGUAGGGAAUCUUCCACAAUGGGCGAAAGCCUGAUGGAGCAACGCCGCGUGAGUGAAGAAGGUUUUCGGAUCGUAAAGCUCUGUUGUUGGUGAAGAAGGAUAGAGGUAGUAACUGGCCCCUAUUUGACGGUAAUCAACCAGAAAGUCACGGCUAACUACGUGCCAGCAGCCGCGGUAAUACGUAGGUGGCAAGCGUUGUCCGGAUUUAUUGGGCGUAAAGCGAGCGCAGGCGGAAAGAUAAGUCUGAUGUGAAAGCCCCCGGCUUAACCGAGGAAUUGCAUCGGAAACUGUGUUUCUUGAGUGCAGAAGAGGAGAGUGGAACUCCAUGUGUAGCGGUGGAAUGCGUAGAUAUAUGGAAGAACACCAGUGGCGAAGGCGGCUCUCUGGUCUGUAACUGACGCUGAGGCUCGAAAGCAUGGGUAGCGAACAGGAUUAGAUACCCUGGUAGUCCAUGCCGUAAACGAU